CUCCUUCCCGCUUCGUCUCUCUCUCUCUCUCUUUCCUCUCUCUGUCUCUCCUCUCCUUUUAAAGUUCCGUUCGAUCAUCGUCACAGUGUCCCUCUCCCUUUCUUCGUCGUCCCCAAUCCUGAAUAUCUCUCUGAUAUUCGCCGUGGAUGGGGUGGUGGGCUGACGGCCACCCCGGCAACCACCCAGGGGCCGGGUAGCACCCUAAUUUUAGCAUCCCGAGAGUUUGCUAGAGGAUCCGCGUGAUUGGCGGUGGAGCGAAAUAGUAUCAUUUUCGCUAUGCGCUCUCUGGACAUGGAGGUGGAGGGACUUUUCGCUACUUAAAUACCCUGCGAUUUCUGCACCAUCAUUAUUCCAACAAAUUUUAAUCAAUACUCCACUACUCCGUAAUUCAUCUCUGGUUGGCAAUAAAUCGGGUUCUCAAUCACGUUUUCUUUGCUUAUAUCUUUAAGUGACAUUGAAGAUGCCUCCUGGUCGCAAGUCUACUAGGCAUCAGCCUGUUGAGUCUUUAGCUCGUGAAGUUGCUCAGUUUUAUGAUGCUAAGGCUCAGGAAUUGUGGGGCACUAAAUUUCAUGAUCGUCCUCUCCUUAUUGAGCGGAAUGUCAUCUUGAGUGAGCUCAACCACACACCUGUUCCAAACAUCAUUCGUGAACGUGGUUGGGAAAAUUUAGUGACCAAUUUACCACGCCACUCGAAGAAUUUAGUUGAGGAAUUUUAUGCCAACAUUCAUGCUAUUGGGGAUGACUAUUCCUUCACUACUUUACUUAGAGGUGUCACGAUUAGGGUGACACCUUCUUUGAUCUCUUCCAUUCAUAGAGUUCCUAGGGUCGAGCAUUCUGACUAUCCAUAUGAUCCCUCGUCUCCGUUAUGCCCAUCCAAACCUGUCAUGGCUACUCUCUUUUGUGCUAAUGACGGAUCUUGGGAUCCUGGCAGUAAUAUCAUUUAUACUUCUCGAUUUACAGAUGAUACACUUGCCAUAUGUCAUGUUAUGUUUUACAACCUGUUUCCCAUUCGACAUACUAGUGACAUUGGGUGACUAGGGCUAGAUUUCUAUAUGCUUUGUUGACAGGUGUUCCAAUUGAUUUUGGAAGACACUUUUGUUCUGUCAUUCUAGAGGCAUUUGAGACAAAAGCAAAACGUAAGUGUCUUCCUUUUCCGUGUUUGAUCACCCUGAUAGCUCUAGCUCAUCAGGUUCCUCUGCCUCGUAAUGAUCCUAUUGUUAGCCAUACGACAGCUAUUGGGAAUAGCACCCUACAGCUGAGUCUUUCUCAUCUUAAAAGAGCAGCACCUCCUAGGCCAAAUGUGCGUAAUCUUAAAAGAGCUGCACCUCCUAGGCCCAAUGUGCAUAAGGAGGUGACACAGCUUGCUCCUGCACUUGAGAUACCUUCUUCAACUUCUGAUGGUCCUUCUACUUCGACUGCACCUGCCCUUGUGACCUUGCAAACUGUGAUGGAGUUCAUAGUUGGCAUGGAGGAACGAUUGUCAGCGCGCCUUGAUUGCUUAGAGCAGCGCCAGAGUAGACUAGAGCAACGCCAGAGUAGACUAGAGCAGGAUGUGCGUACCGUACCCUCUCUGGCAGAUAGAUAGUUGCAAACUCAGUUGUGCCAGAUGGUACCAAUGAGCUUAGUAGCUACAUUUUACCCUUUUGUGAUGAUGUGACAAAAAGGAUAUUUUUUUUAUGAGCAAUGACAAAAGGAGGAGAGUUUUUGUAAAGUUGAUCUAGGGAGAUAUUUAGGGUAGAGUACUUGAGAGUUGAGAUGUAUAGAUCUUUGAUGAUUUGAUCUCUAAAGUCUGGUCUUUUAUUGAUAAACUUUCAUGUAUGAACUAAUAUGAUAUGUUUGUCAGCAUGUUA